rnacentral:rRNA from 1 species
AUUGAACGCUGGCGGCAUGAUUUACACAUGCAAGUCGAACGGUAACAGGCCGCAAGGUGCUGACGAGUGGCGAACGGGUGAGUAAUGCAUCGGAACGUGCCCAGUCGUGGGGGAUAACUACUCGAAAGAGUAGCUAGUACCGCAUACGAUCUAUGGAUGAAAGCGGGGGACCGUAAGGCCUCGCGCGAUUGGAGCGGCCGAUGUCAGAUUAGGUAGUUGGUGGGGUAAAGGCUCACCAAGCCAACGAUCUGUAGCUGGUCUGAGAGGACGACCAGCCACACUGGGACUGAGACACGGCCCAGACUCCUACGGGAGGCAGCAGUGGGGAAUUUUGGACAAUGGGCGCAAGCCUGAUCCAGCAAUGCCGCGUGCAGGAAGAAGGCCUUCGGGUUGUAAACUGCUGUUGUACGGAACGAAACGGCUCUGGUUAAUACCCGGGGCUAAUGACGGUACCGUAAGAAUAAGCACCGGCUAACUACGUG